CCUGUAGCUCAGUCGGAUAGAGCAACGGCCUUCUAAGCCGUGGGUCGCGGGUUCGAAUCCCUCCAGGC
rnacentral:tRNA from 1 species